GUAUGGUGUAGUGGUUACAGAGUCCGACUGUAGGACAAAGUUAAUGUUGAUCGCAGGUUCGAUUCCUGGUGUAUGC
rnacentral:tRNA from 12 species